UCCUGUGUCAAUGUACAGCAAUUCAAUAUUCGAUCAUCUUUACAAUCAUACACCUCUCCACUUUUCAAUUUGCUUCAUCAUUUACUAUUAAUUUACAUUUUUGCCCAUCUUCAUAUCCUCAGAGAAAAAUGGAAGAUCCAGGUUUCGGCAGACCAUAGGGACCUCUGCUGACAGCUUCUAUACAGACGGUCACCUUUGGAUGCAUGGAAGUGGUCUUGCAUGACACCUGAGCUUCAUUUAUUCAAGAUUAAGAUUUCUGUCUGAUAGAGUGAAUCUCACAAUCCAUCAUCACCCUGGCAGAAAGGCUCCCAUUUGUAGGCAUGAUGUUACAGCCUCAUCUGAGCUUUUGCGUGACUCCUAAGUAUAAAAGCAAAUACAGCACGUGUUAGGCUGUAGCACCCACAGGUGGAAUGCUCCAUUUUGCCAUUAAACCAGGAGGUCUCUUGUCUCCUGUUAGAAAUUAAUGUAUGUGUUCCUUUUACUUCACAUUCCAGUCAGCACUUUCCAUUAAGGGCUGUGCUACAGAAGAGGGCCAUGGCUGAAGCAUAAGGGGAGCUGCUGGUGAAACAGGGAGGCUCUCAGGAAGCACCAUCCCUGAAGUGCUCUUACAAUUUUUCUUCACAGCUACAACAGAAAACUGAGUCAAAACGCUUAACAUCUGAAAAACAUUUCUCUUAACCAAAGGCCACCCAAACAGGACGAAGAGGCAGAUGAAACAUUCUACAAGCGACUGGGAGAAGUCUCAAGACAGCUAGCCCUUCUUCUCGUAGGGGCUUCAGCUUACCAGAUGUCCACUGGAAAUACAACACAGCAGAGAGGAAAAAGCCUAUGAGUUCUGGAGUGUGUGGAAGAUAACUUCCUGAUGCAGCUGGUCACUGAGCCC